GACAGAGGCCUCAAGCGUUAGGCGGAAUCACUGGGCUUAAAGCGUGUGUAGGCGGAUCGUUAAGUACCUUGUGAAAUCCCACGGCUCACCCGUGGAACUGCUGGGUAUACUGGCGGUCUUGGGCCAACUAGGGGCAGCUGGAACAAGCGGUGGAGCGGUGAAAUGCGUAGAUAUCGCUUGGAACGCCGAAGGUGAAAACAGGCUGCUGGGGUUGUGCCGA
rnacentral:rRNA from 1 species